rnacentral:tRNA from 1 species
UGUUGUGUGGCUUAGUUGAGUAAAGCACGGGACUAGCGAUACGAAGUCGUGGGUUCGAAUCCCACCAAAACAA